UACGUAGGUCCCGAGCGUUGUCCGGAUUUAUUGGGCGUAAAGCGAGCGCAGGUGGUUUAUUAAGUCUGGUGUAAAAGGCAGUGGCUCAACCAUUGUAUGCAUUGGAAACUGGUAGACUUGAGUGCAGGAGAGGAGAGUGGAAUUCCAUGUGUAGCGGUGAAAUGCGUAGAUAUAUGGAGGAACACCGGUGGCGAAAGCGGCUCUCUGGCCUGUAACUGACACUGUGGCUCGAAAGCGUGGGGAGCAAAUAGG
rnacentral:rRNA from 1 species